rfam:Babesia equi strain WA chromosome 1, complete sequence.
UCCGUGGUAGUAUAGAGGUGAGUAUCCCUGCCUGUCACGCAGGUGACCGGGGUUCGAUUCCCCGCCAUGGAG